rnacentral:tRNA from 1 species
GGGUAUAGUUCCAUGGUAGAAUAUGUGCUUAGUAUGCAUGAGGUCCUGGGUUCCAUUCCCAGUACCUCCA